UUGUCCGGAAUUACUGGGUGUAAAGGGAGUGUAGGCGGGAUAUCAAGUCAGAAGUGAAAAUUACGGGCUCAACUCGUAACCUGCUUUUGAAACUGACAUUCUUGAGUGAAGUAGAGGCAAGCGGAAUUCCUAGUGUAGCGGUGAAAUGCGUAGAUAUUAGGAGGAACACCAGUGGCGAAGGCGGCUUGCUGGGCUUUUACUGACACUGAGGCUCGAAAGCGUGGGGAGCAAACAGGAUUAGAUACCCUGGUAGUCCACGCCGUAAACGAUGAUUACUAGGUGUGGGGGGAUUGACCCCUUCCGUGCCGGAGUAAACACAAUAAGUAAUCCACCUGGGGAGUACGACCGCAAGGUUGAAACUCAAAGGAAUUGACGGGGGCCCGCACAAGCCGUGGAGUAUGUGGUUUAAU
rnacentral:rRNA from 1 species